rnacentral:misc_RNA from 1 species
AGAGCCGAUUGCUAGCUCUUUCUAUUACUAUGGCCAAUACCCUUUCAAAAUCCUUUUUUCAUCCCCUCUUUUUCUUCAUUUUUCUGCUCUUUUCAACUCUUGCUGCAGCAAAAUCUAAUAGUUUUUCAAGAAUCUUAUCUCCGGCGUCACUAGGCCUCAAGAAAGAGAAACUAACCCACCUUCGCUUCUACUUCCACGACAUAG